rnacentral:rRNA from 1 species
AAACCAGCACCUCAAGUGGUCAGGAUGAUUAUUGGGCCUAAAGCAUCCGUAGCCGGCUCUGUAAGUUUUCGGUUAAAUCUGUACGCUCAACGUACAGGCUGCCGGAAAUACUGCAGGGCUAGGGAGUGGGAGAGGUAGACGGUACUCGGGAGGAAGGGGUAAAAUCCUUUGAUCUCUCGAUGACCACCUGUGGCGAAGGCGGUCUACCAGAACACGUCCGACGGUGAGGGAUGAAAGCUGGGGGAGCAAACCGAAUUAGAAACCCGGGUAGUCC